CUGCGAAGGCCGCGCGCCGUCACCUUGGCAACCCGAUGGGCGCCGAGCGCGUCAGUCCCGCCCCACGUGCGGGUCUCAGCCGGUUCCCAGCGCUUAACUCCCGUGGGACCGAAAGAGGGGGGGCUUGCGUUUGGGACGCGGUUACGCUAACAUUUCUGCACUCGGAUGCACGUGGGGCCCCAGGCCCCGCCUCCCAGUGAACACCUCCCGUGAGAGAUGGUCUGAUCUUCUCGUCGGAUGGGGAACAGAAUCAUAGCAUCACCAUCACGUGUCGAAACUGGGAGAACUCCACGGAGGCUUGGCCGGGAGGGAGGAAGUAGAUUUAAGAGGUCAUACAGCAGCCAGUUAUUACAAUAAAACAUUUAUUAAGCUGUCAUUUUCACAAUAUUUUAAUUCUGUUCUGAAAUCAGUCUACAAAGAUCUCUACAUGACACCGAAGGCAGUCAUUUUUAUAAAUAACAGGAAUGUAUCGCUUUGCCAAAAAAAUACAAACAAGCCUUAUACAUGUAGGUCUAUAUGCGAUAUCUGUAGGGUCAAUUUCCCAAGGCUCACGGCACUAAAACGGUGUACACCACACGCACGCACACGCACACACACACACACACACAUACACACGCGCGCACACACAUACACGUACCACUAUAUUGAAAUCAGGUGUUUUAUAGUAAAUGUCAAAUUAAAUGCUCUAUCAAAUUCAUAACCAGGUACACAAAAUAUUGAAUCAGGAAAGCACUGUGGACAGGGGGCACCAAUGGGAUUCCCGGCGAAGAAGAGAGAAAUGGCUUUGCUGAAUGUGGAGGGAGUGCUCAUCACCGUCUCCAUCACCAGAAAUCAACGGAAUUACCCGGCCCUCGGAGAUGGCACGCACGAGCAGAAAUGAAAUGGACACUCAGACCGAUAAACCUGCGAGAAGACCCUGGAACAUACGGCCCCGGCCGCCACUCGCCGCCCCAGGUUUCAGAUGCAAUUGACGAUCCGCUUUGGGUGCCGCCCCAAGGGCGAUGCUGGUUCCCGCGUGGCUGCUACAGGUCAAGGGAUCGCUCGCUGGAGAGCAGAGUGAGGAAGGCAGUGCGCGGGCCAAUGUCUGUGUGCCCAGGUGCUGGGCGUCGUACCGACGGCCGCCUAACACCAAGUUUAAGGGGCCUGCGUCAGAACCUGCCAAAC